rnacentral:lncRNA from 10 species
CUGAAAUCUAUAUGCACUAUAGGGCUUUCAUAGUACUUUUCUGACCACGGUUUUCUGGAGUUUUUUCGUAUGGAGUUUGUAAGCUUCCUGACAUGUUAUUUUUGGCAGAUUUUGAUGGAUGUACAUUGAUGGAUAGCCACGUGGAUCCAGAAAAUAAAGACUUCUACUCUGCAUUUGACUAAAGCAGAAGAUAUGCAAGGAAGCUCAGUCUCUCAAUUGAGUGGAUUCUGAAAUUUAUCCUGUUGUCUUCAGCUACUAAGGCUAAUUUGCAAAUCACACUGUGCACGGUUUUAUCUCUCCCAAUAAAUACAAUAUUCUACAUCCUCUGUUGUACUCAGAAUUUGGAAAUUAACCCCAGUAUGCUGAUUAAUAGUCAUAACUAUAUCUAGAUAACAAAAUAUGCAUAUAUAUGAAGGAGGCAGACAAUAGGGGAGGGCAGGUUGAAAGUUUUUUUUAUCCUAAUUUCUUGAAACUCUUCUUACAUGAGUCCCCUGACUACUCUUACAUAUGCAUCAUUUUCUCUCUCGUGAUCACAUAUGCUUUAAAAUAUGUAAAAUUUAUAUGAAUAUAUUUUAUGCCUGGCUGCAUUUUAAUACCUUCCGUCAAGGGUUCCAGGGUGAAAUAGGAGCACUUAGGAAGCACUGCAAUGAAUUUACUGCUUAUUCAGCAUAUUGAUAGAGUCUUCUCUAAAACAACAAAAAGUGUUGACAGCAAACUGAAGAUCUUAAAGAAUGUGUGUGUCCCACCCCUGCAGUACUUCAGCAUUCUGAGGUAACAAGACAGUUGGCUUACUGCAUCUUAGAAAGGCUUAUUGAUUUUGUUAUUGCUACAACUAUCAUGGAAGCAGAGGCAGCAAUUUCUCAAGCCUAGUUCCAAAAGGAUUAAACCUGACAAAGAUUUAU